rnacentral:rRNA from 1 species
GAUGAACGCUAGCUACAGGCUUAACACAUGCAAGUCGAGGGGAAACGACAUCGAAAGCUUGCUUUUGAUGGGCGUCGACCGGCGCACGGGUGAGUAACGCGUAUCCAACCUGCCCACCACUUGGGGAUAACCUUGCGAAAGUAAGACUAAUACCCCAAUGAUAUCCCACGAAGGCAUCCGAAUGGGAUUAAAGAUUUAUCGGUGAUGGAUGGGGAUGCGUCUGAUUAGCUUGUUGGCGGGGUAACGGCCCACCAAGGCGACGAUCAGUAGGGGUUCUGAGAGGAAGGUCCCCCACAUUGGAACUGAGACACGGUCCAAACUCCUACGGGAGGCAGCAGUGAGGAAUAUUGGUCAAUGGGCGAGAGCCUGAACCAGCCAAGUAGCGUGCAGGAAGACGGCCCUAUGGGUUGUAAACUGCUUUUAUAAGGGAAUAAAGUGAGAGUCGUGACUCUUUUUGCAUGUACCUUAUGAAUAAGGACCGGCUAAUUCCGUG